AGAGAGGAGGUGCGCAGUCGUCAGGGGGACCAGGGCCCCUGCCAGGCGAGGAGAGGACAGCGUUCUCCCCCAUCCUCCCGAACCCACAUACCCGAGGGCAGAGAACAACAAAAGAACAGAUCUACAAGGUCCGCGGGACACGAGUCAGGGAUGUGCUGAUCUGUCAGGAAGGAUCGGGAAAGAGCUACUUAGCAGGUAUCGACCACCUUGAUCCAGGCCCUGGGGGUUCCGACCCAGUCACUGUGCUCAGGGAACGGAACUUCUGUGGAGAGAGAAAACCCGAACCAAACCAAAAUACAGAUCAACCAAUGAAGCCGGCACACGCCUCAGGCGAUUGUCACAAGAAAAGAACAUAAGAGUUCUGCUAAUGACAUCUGAUGGAGUACACGAGUAUUUUCUCUUUAAGGCCAAUGAAAAACCUCAGAAAUUACAGAGGAAACGAACAUAAAAGGACUCUGCAAGAAGCCUGACAGAACUUCUGCAUGGCGAAUCCUCACUAAUCCCCAGCUGCUGCAUACUGUAAUGUGAAGACGGCGUAUUUGUGAGAUUAAAUAAACCAUUUGUUCCUGUGACCACAAGCGGAGAGAGUAGAAAGAAAUCAAUCAAGGAAAGCAAUUUCUAUGUGCUUCCUAUAAACAGAGGUUUUCCAUUUUCUCUCUCAGCACUUCUACUACAGGAGUAGUGAAUUUGUCAACUUGAUUUUCAAUGGCUCAUGAAAGGUGGUUAGCUGUCAACCUGCGGUCUGAACGCUUAGCUGAGUGUUUGCUAGAAGAGCUCUUCCAGGAAGGUGGACCCUCCUUCUUAGAUGAGAACGCUUGGAACUCUGCAGAUAAUUAAGUUUCAGAAAUACUUGGAGGAACAAAGUGAAACGGACAUGCUUGCUGCAGGACUUCUCAGAGCCUUUGUGAGGCUGGUGUCUAUUGUCUAUUGUGAGCCUUUGGGAGAGAGCGCAA